UACGGGGGGGGCAAGCGUUGUUCGGAAUUACUGGGCGUAAAGGGCUCGUAGGCGGCCAACUAAGUCAGACGUGAAAUCCCUCGGCUUAACCGGGGAACUGCAUCUGAUACUGGAUGGCUUGAAUUCGGGAGAGGGAUGCAGAAUUCCAGGUGUAGCGGUGAAAUGCGUAGAUAUCUGGAGGAAUACCGGUGGCGAAGGCGGCAUCCUGGACCGACAUUGACGCUGAGGAGCGAAAGCUAGGGGAGCAAACGGGG
rnacentral:rRNA from 1 species